AAGGCAGAGCCACCCGUGGACCGUUUAGAACUCCUCAUUCGAGUGGCGGGGCCUUGGCGUCCACCACUCGUCGCCCCAGGACUGGGGUCGUGGGCCGAGCCCACGUCUGCUAUCCUUGGGCGUUAACAACAAACCCCGGCGCAGAUCGCGCCAAGGAACAAGAAAGAAAGAGGCGUGCUCCCAUGGUCCCGGAUACGGUGCGCCACGGGUUGCGUCGUCGUUAUACUAUUCGAAACGACUCUCGGCAACGGAUAUCUCGGCUCUCGCAUCGAUGAAGAACGUAGCGAAAUGCGAUACUUGGUGUGAAUUGCAGAAUCCCGUGAACCAUCGAGUUUUUGAACGCAAGUUGCGCCCGAAGCCGUCAGGCCGAGGGCACGUCUGCCUGGGUGUCAGGAAACGUCGCCAAAACGUCCCUCUUCACCCCCUCUCGCUCGAGGGGGGAAGCAUCGAGGGCGGGCGGAUAUUGGCUUCCCGUGCGCGAUUGCUCGCGGUUGGCCCAAAAGAGAGCCCCCAGGCGAGGUGGCCACGACGCGCGGUGGUAGAAAGCGUAUGCUCUCCUCAAACACCGUCGUGUGCCGGCCUCGUGGGGCAGCAAGAGACCCGACGCGAAGCAGUGUUUCGCGAAGCGACCCCAG
rnacentral:rRNA from 1 species